rnacentral:misc_RNA from 1 species
GAUGAAGAACGCAGCGAAAUGCGAUAAGUAAUGUGAAUUGCAGAAUUCAGUGAACCAUCGAAUCUUUGAACGCACAUUGCGCCCGGCAGUAAUCUGCCGGGCAUGCCUGUCCGAGCGUCAUUUCUGCCCUCGAGCGAGUCCAGCAUCUAGGUGCUGGGCCCGCCCGGCGUUGGGGCACUACGGGAAGCCCUGUGCUGUCCCCAGUAGGCCCCGAAAUGAAGUGGCGGUCCUGCCGCGGCGCCCCCUGCGUAGUAUAACAGCUCGCUUCGGGACCCGGUGGAGGCCUGCCGUCAAACCUUACUCUCUAAGUUUGACCUCGGAUCAGGUAGGGUUACCCGCUGAACUUAAGCAUAUCAAUAAGCGGAGGA